CUCUGACGUCGCGUAAGUCUCUAAAUAGAGGAAUAAAGGGGACGUUUCUAAAGGAACUGUGGUGCUGCGUCGGUGGGAGAGUAUAGCAGGGCAGUUUCGGUAGCGUCUUCGCUGAGCUAGCGACACGGAAAAAGUGCAGAAAAAUCAUCGACAUGACUGCUCUAUCCUUCAUAAGUGGUGAUUAUGUGGGUUUUCGAAGAAAAUGACGGCAGCCGAGCGAAAGCAAGCGGUGGAGGUGCUAGAAGAAAGUUCCUUUAUAUCGAAUACCUCGCGAUAAAUUGCGUGACCUACAAACUCACACCUGUUGAUGCAUUGGAACGCAAACAAAUUUGACGUACGAUGAUUCACCAUGAAAGCGCACGAGUGUCUUAACUAUACGAAGGAAUUCUUUUAUUACAAAACGCUUUCUUACAGAUUUUUAUUGCCUUUCAUUUACGUAAAACGUGUGCCACUGCGAUGAGUGAAGAUCCGGUGCAGAACGAAGUAACUUAAAACGUAGUUACACAUCUUUUUCGACUUGUCACCGGCGUGGGAAAAAAUUCAGGCCAGUGGUGAAUAAAGUUUAUUUUCGAGAGAUUUCGUCAGACGGAGACUUCCAAAAAACGUGGGAUAGCUUUUGGGAAAUUUACCUGAAAGACUCGACAACGAAAAAUGUUGUAUACGCCUCCAAAGGAAGCUUGAAUGGUACACCGUGAUCACAAAAAUGAACUGAUGUUUACAUCAUCACUUCGAUUUUCAGAGCAGUUAAGGUAGCAUCUUCGCUGAGGUAGCGUCUUCGCUAAGCUAGCGACACGGAACAAGUGCGAAAGAUCAUCGACAUGACUGCUCUAUUCUGCAUGAGUGGUGAUUUUGUGGGAACUUGAAGAAAAUGAAGGCAGCCCAGUGCGAGCGGUAGAGCUACCUUAUGUUGAAUGCCUCGCGAUCAGCACAACUGGGCAAAUUGCGUGACUUUCAUAACACAUGAACCUGUUAUUACGUUAGAACGUAGACAAAUUUGGCGUAGGAUGUUUCACCUUGACGGUGCACGACUUUUCAACGAGAUAUUUCAAUAAUCCAUCAACUUUUCGACAAAAAAAGGAAAUUAGGUGGCCGCUAAAAAUCAGCUUAUGUUGGGAAAAUUAAUUAAAAAGUUUUUAGUAUGCACAGUAUUUCCGCCUACGUGACAACUGUCAUAGUCACAACAGAGAACGUCAUCAGCUGUCAGCAAUUUUCUUUCCCUUUUUGCUAAGAGUGCACGAAACCUACGGACAACGAAUGGACUAAUUUACCACGUUCGGAUUUGAUUUCCAUACAUUGCUAUCUAUGCGUGAAUUGAUUUCCGUGAUUUAGAAUGGAGAAAUAUUUGCAUGAUUUGAACGAGGGCUGAACUGGAAUAUUGACUGUAAAUUAUUUUGUACUGCAGCCAGACUGUUCACAUGAAUAAUAACAUCUUUUUUUACUAUAAUAGCGAAAUGAUGUAAAUUAAAGAUAAAACAAAAAUUAGGUGUAUGUAAAGCAAUGUAAAUGGAAGCAGUCCUUUACUUUCUAAUACUUUUCUCCGAGCUGUCGAGGAAACGUAAUUCAGACUACGUUUACGCGUAAGUGUAUCAGUUGGAUCAAAACUUUGUCACUUAAGGGUCCCUUUUGCUGGAUUUAGCGAGAAAAGAAUUGAAACAAUUA